rnacentral:misc_RNA from 1 species
AAGUCGUAACAAGGUUUCCGUAGGUGAACCUGCGGAAGGAUCAUUAACACGAAUGUUUUUAUUUAUCCAAUAUUCAAACCAACCGUGAACUUAUCUCCUCCCUAUUUGAUAUUUGAUUCAAAUUUCAAAUAGGCUAACAAUAAUAUUCCUUUUUAACCCCAUUUUAUUAUUUAUGAAUUUUGUUUGUUAACUUGUUCUAUUCAGUUACACUCAAAUAACUCUAUACUAUACACAACAAGUUAUUCUUAUUGUGUUUUAUUGUAUCUUACGAAACAAUUUAUUCUAUUAUUAACAACUCUUAACAAUGGAUAUCUUGGUUCUC